ACAAAGCUUAGAUGGUGUAGCUGAAGUCCGUAUGAGUCUUUGGCUUUGUAUCUUCUAACAAGGAAACACUACUUAGGCUUUAAAGAUCCAGUUGCAGUUUAAGUUUUUAUACUCAAUCAUACACAUGACAUAUAGUCAUAUUUGA
rnacentral:sRNA from 1 species